rnacentral:rRNA from 1 species
GCCCAGCCGUAAACAAUUAACUCACAACAACCAGCGCCUGGAAAUUACGAGCAAUGCUUAAAACCCAAAGGACUUGACGGUGUUCCACCCAACUAGAGGAGCCUGUUCUAUAAUCGAUGAUCCCCGCUAUACCUAACCAUUUCUAGCUAUUCAGUCUGUAUACCUCCGUCGAAAGCUUACCAUGUGAACGAACUUUAGUAGGCCCAAGGACCCCAUCAACACGUCAGGUCAAGGUGCAGCUUACGAGAUGGAAAGUAAUGGGCUACAAUUUCUAAUCUAGAACAAACGAAAUACUGUGUGAAACCACAGUCACGAAGGCGGAUUUAGUAGUAAAAAGAAAAUAGAGAGUUCUUUUUAACCCGGCUCUGGGACGUGUACACACCGCCCGUCACCCUCUUCGACUACAUAACAAAGUUCAUAACCCCAUUUUUUACUCUAGAAGAGGCAAGUCGUAACAUGGUAAGUGUACUGGAAAGUGUACUUGGUAUAUUACAAAAUGUACUUAA